GGAUAGCCCCAGGUAACUGGGGAAAGGUCGGGGCGGCUUGACGGCUCCGGCCCCCAAGUUGGAUCACAAGUCCAGCGUGGGCAUGUCUCACCGGAUCCCGCGGCCGGGGUCGCACCCGGAAAGCAUCGGGCGAGUUGAAAAGCCGAAAGGCGCAACGAGGUCGGUGUCCGUAGAAUGCGAAUAAGGGGUUCGAGAGGUUGGCGGCGAUAACUAAAGAAACCGCACGCUAGCCCAGUCACGUUGGAAGGCAGUUUCGGCCUUUUUGGCGAACACAGACGCUCCAAGAAAAGGGCGCUGGUUGCUGCUGUGAGAAACGUCAGGUGUUCAUGGUCAGCCUGAGUAUGGGAGUGUGAAAAAGCUCCUGGCUCCAAGGUUCCCCCUGAUGCGGGGGGAAAGCGAAAGGGGUUGGCAGGUGGAUAGGCGGGGUCGGGGGGUCGGGCCGGCGGGCUUGGCCGAUAGAAAACCCGGCUCCGGGUUUGGGAGGCGUACCCGGGAGGGGCGUCGCCCAACUACGAGGAAAAAGCAACCUGAGAGGUAAGAAGCUAGACCCGUGGCGGGGGGCCAACGCGGUGCCAAAAGCACCGGCUGUCCUCCCGAUCAUAGGCGGUGAUUCACAAAGAAACCUGUCACAGGGUAAUUCUCGUGGGUGAGUCAACGCCGUGUUUGGCGCGCCCGUGCCGGCAGGUACGGACCGAACCAAGCAAAGAGGCUUCACUCAAUAAACUGCGAUCAGGGAUGGUCGUGGCGGCCCUGCUAUGAGGCCGGAACUUCUCCCCCGCCGUGACGCGGGGGCGGUGAAUAGCGUCGGGGAACUGGCAGCCGAAUGAAGAAGUAGGAUCGGUCGAAAGGCAGGUCCAGGCGCCAAAUAGCCAGUCGAUGGGGAAGAGAGCGUGGCGAACUCC
rnacentral:ncRNA from 1 species